GGGGAUAACAUUUGGAAACAGAUGCUAAUACCGCAUAGAUCCAAGAACCGCAUGGUUCUUGGCUGAAAGAUGGCGUAAGCUAUCGCUUUUGGAUGGACCCGCGGCGUAUUAGCUAGUUGGUGAGGUAAUGGCUCACCAAGGCGAUGAUACGUAGCCGAACUGAGAGGUUGAUCGGCCACAUUGGGACUGAGACACGGCCCAAACUCCUACGGGAGGCAGCAGUAGGGAAUCUUCCACAAUGGACGCAAGUCUGAUGGAGCAACGCCGCGUGAGUGAAGAAGGCUUUCGGGUCGUAAAACUCUGUUGUUGGAGAAGAAUGGUCGGCAGAGUAACUGCUGUCGGCGUGACGGUAUCCAACCAGAAAGCCACGGCUAACUACGUGCCAGCAGCCGCGGUAAUACGUAGGUGGCAAGCGUUAUCCGGAUUUAUUGGGCGUAAAGCGAGCGCAGGCGGUUUUUUAAGUCUGAUGUGAAAGCCCUCGGCUUAACCGAGGAAGCGCAUCGGAAACUGGGAAACUUGAGUGCAGAAGAGGACAGUGGAACUCCAUGUGUAGCGGUGAAAUGCGUAGAUAUAUGGAAGAACACCAGUGGCGAAGGCGGCUGUCUGGUCUGUAACUGACGCUGAGGCUCGAAAGCAUGGGUAGCGAACAGGAUUAGAUACCCUGGUAGUCCAUGCCGUAAACGAUGAAU
rnacentral:rRNA from 1 species